ensembl:lncRNA
ACAGGUUCGGACAAUCAGAGAUCAGCCACACCACAAUGGAGAGUCAGACUUCAGGAUUUUAUUGCUGGAACUGAGCACAAAACAUGGGGCAGAGUUAGCAUAACACACACGCACGCAGGCAGACAGGCUCACGCUCUCUCUCCCUCUCCAGUCCAGCGGUCACCGUGUGACUGUGUCAGUUUUCCUUUUUUUUUUACAUCAAUUCAACCAAGUCCAACCCCACAUCGAGCACAACAGAGGAUCGGUAGAAGAAAUAAACAAAACCAGCCGCGGAGAUAUCACAACCAGAACACACGUAAAUAUCACACAGUGUACAUAAAAUGUUAAUAUUUUGUAUUGUAGAUAAAAUGAAAAUAUUUUAUACUGUAAAUAAAAUGUAAAUAUUUUAUACUGUAAAUAAAAUGCAUUACAAUGUAAACUCAAGCUAAUUUAAACUGGCCAGAUAGAGACCUUGGAUACCGUAUAAAAUUAUAUAGAACACUACACAAGAGGGUAUAUUUAUCACAUAUGGAGACAUAUAUUAAAUCACAAUGAGCAACAAGUGGCCAUUUUUAGAACUAAAUUACUUAAACUGACUAAAUCCAUCAAAAUUCUGGAUUAAAAACUAGUUGUAAACACUUAAACUACUAGUAAAACAUACCUGAGCACAAAACAUGGGGCAGAGUUAGCAUAACACACACGCACGCAGGCAGACAGGCUCACACUCUCUCUCCCUCUCCUGCACAAGGCAAAAAACUCAUGAGGCACAAAACUGGGGUUAAAAACACUAUUUACGCUGUGUUCUCAUUAAGAACGGCAAUUCAGCUUCACUAUGAGGUUAUAAUACAUCCUUCAUCAGAUUUAUAGAGCUCUAAGCUCCUAAAGAGGGACUUUUACACGAGAGAGAGUGAAUGCGCAUCUUACCAGUCCAGCGGUCACCGUAUGACUGAAUAGCCCGGGAAAGCACACAGCUUUCAGGCGUGGUGUAGCGCUAAUUAGUGCCCCAUGUACAACAAAUAAAGGGGGAACCCCAAAAGAAAACUUUUUUUACAGAGAACUGAGCUUAAAACGCACAUAUAAUUUUGUGUUAAAGCUUUGAGGGAGUUCACAUCAAACUAUUAAAUAUUUCUGCAAGUAUCUAAAAUAACAAUAAAAAAAUUUGAAAGAGCAAAAAUAAUACGGUUACACGAGCAGCAGGAGGCGAAUCGCCCCUGAACACCCACCAACACCGCCUUAGCGAGCAGUAACGAAGCCGCUGCUCAGUGA